GCCAGCAUGACAUAGCGGUUUGAAUGUUGGACUAGGAUUUUGGAGAUCAGGGUUCGAAUCCCUGUUCGGCC